UACGUAGGGUGCAAGCGUUGUCCGGAAUUAUUGGGCGUAAAGAGCUUGUAGGCGGUUUGUCGCGUCUGCUGUGAAAUUUCGGGGCUCAACCCCGAACUUGCAGUGGGUACGGGCAGACUAGAGUGUGGUAGGGGAGACUGGAAUUCCUGGUGUAGCGGUGAAAUGCGCAGAUAUCAGGAGGAACACCGAUGGCGAAGGCAGCUCACUGGGACGGUACUGACGCUGAGGCGCGAAAGCCAGGGGAGCGAACGGG
rnacentral:rRNA from 1 species